rnacentral:rRNA from 1 species
UUCACCGUCCGAGUUGUAGUCUAGAGAAGCAUCAUCUACGCUGGACCAUGUACAAGUCUCUUGGAACAGAGCGUCAUAGAGGGUGAGAAUCCCGUCCUUGACAUGGACUCCCAGUGUUCUGUGUUGUGCUCUCAACGAGUCGAGUUGUUUGGGAAUGCAGCUCAAAAUGGGUGGUAAAUUCCAUCUAAAGCUAAAUAUUGGCGAGAGACCGAUAGCGAACAAGUACCGUGAGGGAAAGAUGAAAAGCACUUUGGAGAGAGAGUUAAACAGUACGUGAAAUUGUUGAAAUGGAAACGCUUGAAGUCAGUCGCGUUCUCUGGGAUUCAGCCUUGCUUUUGCUUGGUGCAUUUCCUAGUCUACGGGCCAGCAUGGAUUUCGACCGUUGGAAAAGGGCUGGGGGAAUGUGGCACCUUCGGGUGUGUUAUAGCCCCCUGUCGCAUGCAUCGGUUGGGAUCGAGGACCUCAGUGCACGCUUCGGUUGUGCUUUGAUGCUGGCGUAAUGGCUUUAAACGACCCGUCUUGAAACACGGACCAAGGAGUCUAACAUGUCUGCGAGUGUUUGGGUGAAAAACUCGGACGCGCAAUGAAAGUGAUAGUUGGGAACCUUUCACGAGGGGCACCGACGCCCGGA